GAUGAACGCUGGCGGCGUGCCUAAUACAUGCAAGUCGAGCGAACAGACGAGGAGCUUGCUCCUUCGACGUUAGCGGCGGACGGGUGAGUAACACGUAGGUAACCUACCUAUAAGACUGGGAUAACUUCGGGAAACCGGAGCUAAUACCGGAUAAUAUUUCGAACCGCAUGGUUCGAUAGUGAAAGAUGGCUUUGCUAUCACUUAUAGAUGGACCUGCGCCGUAUUAGCUAGUUGGUAAGGUAACGGCUUACCAAGGCAACGAUACGUAGCCGACCUGAGAGGGUGAUCGGCCACACUGGAAAUGAGACACGGUCCAGACUCCUACGGGAGGCAGCAGUAGGGAAUCUUCCGCAAUGGGCGAAAGCCUGACGGAGCAACGCCGCGUGAGUGAUGAAGGUCUUCGGAUCGUAAAACUCUGUUAUUAGGGAAGAACAAACGUGUAAGUAACUGUGCACGUCUUGACGGUACCUAAUCAGAAAGCCACGGCUAACUACGUG
rnacentral:rRNA from 1 species